rnacentral:rRNA from 1 species
CCCUUAGAUGUCCUGGGCCGCACGCGCGUUACACUGGAAGUUACGGAUUGAGAUACUACCUUGUCCGAAAUGGUCCGGGUAAUCACCUAAAAGCUUGUCAUAAUUGGAAUGGAUUAUUGUAACUAGUAAUCCUGAACGAGGAAUUCCUAGUAAGUCCCAGUCAACAGCUGGUACUGAUUACGUCCCUGCCCUUUGUACACACCGCCCGUCGCUACUACUGAUUGGACGUUUAAGCAAGAUUUUUAAACACUGACAGUGUGUAGUUCACGCUAUACUACAGUGAGAAGAAGAAGAUCGAGCUUACUUGUCUAGAGGAAGUAAAAGUCGUAACA